rnacentral:rRNA from 1 species
GGAUUCCCCUAGUAAUGGCGAAUGAAGAGGGAAAAGCCCAAAUUUGUAAUCUGGCUCUUUCAGAGUCCGAGUUGUAAUUUUAAGAACUGUUUUCAGUGCUGGACCAUGUUUAAGUCUGUUGAAAGGCAGCAUCAUAGAAGGUGAUAAUCCUGUUCAUGAUAUGGACUACCAGUGCAAUAUGAUACAGUCUCUAAGAGUCGAGUUGUUUGGGAAUGCAGCUCAAAGUGGGUGGUAAAUUCCAUCUAAGGCUAAAUAUUGAUGAGAGACCGAUAGCAAACAAGUACCGUGAGGGAAAGAUGAAAAGAACUUUGGAAAGAGAGUUAACAGUGCGUGAAAUUGUUAAAAGGGAAACGAUUGAAGUUAGACUUGUUAUUAUUAGUUCAACCUUUUCAAAGGAGUAUUCUAAUGAUUAACAGACCAACAUCAGUUUUUGGGUGUUGGAGAAGGGUUCAAGGAAAUGUAGCAGUCUCUGACUGUGUUAUAGUCCUGAGCUUUGAUACAAUGCUUAAGAUUGAGGAAUGCA